UACAGAGGUCUCAAGCGUUGUUCGGAUUCAUUGGGCGUAAAGGGUGUGUAGGUGGCGCCGUAAGUCGGGUGUGAAAUUUCGGAGCUUAAACUCCGAAACUGCAUUCGAUACUGCGGUGCUUGAGGACUGGAGAGGAGACUGGAAUUUACGGUGUAGCGGUGAAAUGCGUAGAUAUCGUAAGGAAGAUCAGUGGCGAAGGCGGGUCUCUGGACAGUUCCUGACGCUGAGGCACGAAGGCCAGGGGAGCAAACGGG
rnacentral:rRNA from 1 species